ensembl:lncRNA
UUUUACAGCACCUUGGUGCUGGGGCCUUGUAUGGAGCCAGUCACAAGGUUUAUGAUACCUACAAAUGACCUGCCAUAGCCAGGAGGAAAUGAGGGAGCUCCCCUCUCCUGUCCUUGAGGAAGACAGCUGUAGCAGUUCUCUAGAAAGGGCCUUUGUGGCGUCCUCACUAAGUCCUCCCUAAAGGACAAAUGGAGGAAGGUGGUUUUGGGCCUCAUACUCCAUUUCUAUUUAAAUGAGCAAAGGUGGGGCUGCUCUUCCAGAGGACCUGGGUUUGAUUCCCAGCACCCACAUGGUGGCUCACAACCAUCUGCAACUCCAUUUCAAGGAGGGUCCAAUACCCCUCUGGCCUCCUUGGGUACCAGGCACACAUGUGGUGCACAUACACACGGGCAAAGCAUCCAUGCAUGUGAAAGAGAUGGGCCACCGUGGGAACACAGCUGUGAGUGUGUCUGCGCCAGGCGUUUCCAGAAAGGAUCCACUGAGGAGGGAAGACCCAGCCCGAACUUGAAAGCCUGGGGGCUUCCCGAAGGGAAGACAAGGCCAGGUCCUCAGAAGGGUGCCACCUUCGAGUUCGUCCUGGAAGGAACCUCUCAUGCCUGUCAUGGGUCCUGAGUGAAAUAAUGGCUCCUAAGCCCCUUGUGUGCAUGAGAGCCCCUGGAGGGCUGGCAAACGGUACUUGACAUAAAACAAAUUGCAGUGCGAGUCCCAGAGCCAUCAGGUCAGCUGGGGCGGGGCCUGGAAAUGAACAUUUUCAGCAAGUUCCCAGACCAUGCUUCCAGGCCAGCCCAGAGCCCACCCUCUGAGAACCACUGCCCUAAAGAACUGCAGAGUGACCCGGAGCUGGUGUGGAAUUUAUUCUCUCUGCUCUCUGGACUGUUGUUUUGGCUGCUGGUGAGGUUCUCAUUGUGCUCCUGAGCCCUGAUUUGUGGUACUUGGCAGACCCUCAGAGCCCCAGGAGGGCUGGAACUUCUAACAGGCAGCACCCAGGUGCCCAUGAGCAGGUGGUUUUUACUGCACACCCGGGACAACAUACACGUGGAAGACCCGUUCCCUUACUUGCUGUAAAGCUUGGAAAUGGAGUGAGACAGCUGUGACCUUUCCUCUGGGUGUGCUCCUCAGGGAUGGGCCUUCUGAAAAUGUUGGCACUGGCAGCAGCUGGCAGGGAUGUGGGUGCCCCGCAGGCUGUCGGAAUGGCUUGGUGUAGAGACUCUCCCUCACUCUCCCCUUCUUUCCUUCUACCCUACCCUUUUGGGUGGUCCACACAGGGAAUGGCCGUUGGGCUGAACCUGACUGAGUUGACUCAUGGGCCCUGUGCCCACUUUUCCCAGUCCAGGCUAUCAACUCUCGGGAUGGUGCGACCCACGUCCGGGGCGAGUCUUUCCUCCUUAGCUGUAUCUCUCUGUAAAUGCCCUUGCUGGCGUGCCAGGAGAUAUGCUCCUUAGAUGAUCCUCAAUCCAACCAAGUUAUUAAUGAAGACUAGCCCUCAUAUCCUGGGCUCACUUUCCUAUGCUUGGAACACCUGGGCUCAUGCCUCUUUCUAUCCUGAUACACAUCAGUGCCAUGGACCAGACUAGAAAG